rnacentral:rRNA from 1 species
UACAGAGGUCCCAAGCGUUGUUCGGAUUCACUGGGCGUAAAGGGUGCGUAGGCGGUCGGGUAAGUCUGACGUGAAAUCUUCAAGCUCAACUUGGAAACUGCGUCCGAUACUAUUCGGCUAGAGGAAUGGAGGGGAGACUGGAAUACUUGGUGUAGCAGUGAAAUGCGUAGAUAUCAAGUGGAACACCAGUGGCGAAGGCGAGUCUCUGGACAUUUCCUGACGUUGAGGCACGAAAGCCAGGGGAGCAAACGGG